CCUACGGGAGGCAGCAGUGGGGAAUAUUGCACAAUGGGGGAAACCCUGAUGCAGCGACGCCGCGUGAGUGAAGAAGUAAUUCGUUAUGUAAAGCUCUAUCAGCAGGGAAGAAAAUGACGGUACCUGAGUAAGAAGCCCCGGCUAACUACGUGCCAGAAGCCGCGGUAAUACGUAGGGGGCAAGCGUUAUCCGGAUUUACUGGGUGGAAAGGGAGCGUAGACGGCAGUGCAAGUAUGGAGUGAAAGGCGGGGGCUCAACCCCCGGACUGCUCUGGAAACUGUACGGCUGGAGUGCAGGAGAGGUAAGUGGAAUUCCUAGUGUAGCGGUGAAAUGCGUAGAUAUUAGGAGGAACACCAGUGGCGAAGGCGGCUUACUGGACUGUAACUGACGUUGAGGCUCGAAAGCGUGGGGAGCAAACAGGAUUAGAUACCCUAGUAGUC
rnacentral:rRNA from 1 species